GGAUGUGAGGGUGAUAUGGCUGCAACAUCUGUUGAUCGCCAGGGUUGAUUCGGCUGAUCUGGCUGCCUAGGCAGGUGUCCCCUUCCUCCCUCAUUGCUCCAUGUGCUUCCCUCCCAGCUGCAAGCUUGGUCGAAGAGGACAGCCUUCCCCGAAUAGAGACCAACUGGUCUUCUGUGGAGGGUAUACGAGUAGCUGUGCUCUCCUGUUAGAAUCUCCAAACAAGCUCUCAAGAAUCCAAUGCUUUAUACCCUGUGUCACUUCCCAGACCAUUUUUUUUUAAUUG
rnacentral:snRNA from 1 species